GCAAGCGGACUUCUCUGGCUUCGUCUGAUUCUGAGUCCCGGAUCUCAGCCCUGGAAUGACGCACUUGCUGCAAACAUGAUGAUGCUGAAAUAGUGUUCUGAAUCUAGUCUGAAGUCUGAUUUGG